rnacentral:rRNA from 1 species
UUACGGCCACAUCACGUUGAAACAUCGGUUCCCGUAUAAUCACCGAAGUUAAGCAACAUCAAGACUGGUAGGUACUUAGAUGGGUGACCGCUUGGAAAUACCAGGUGCUGUAAG